AAUUAACGAAAUGAAAGAAAAUGACCCGAUGCGGCUACUGAAUCUAAAGGUUCUAAGGAUAGUGUGUCGUAUCCAGGUAUUGCAGGUCCAACGAAUCAAUAAUACAUUCAUUCAUCUGUGGUGAAACUGGAUCAAGGAUUUUCUGCAAAUGCAAGAAACCUCUUCUGCAACUGUAUUUGAUCCAUUGCUGGAUACAAGGCCCGUCCCAGAUUGUUGCAUUUAUUUCAGUUUUCUGUCUUUAGGAACUAUGCCAGUGGAGAUGUGAAAACUGGAUUCAUGAUCAAGCUUGGUAUGAUUGUAUGAAAACUGAAUUUACUAGUACAGUACACACUGUAUAUGUUUACAUUGAUCCUGGUUUUACAAGUGAGUGUUAUCGUAAUGCCUAUUCACAUCCAGCUGCUCUCAUUCCUGAUGUCAAGAAACCGAAUGAAGUUGAUGAAAGCACUAAGAUCAACGCUCCUUCUGUUAUUAAAGGACUUGGAAGACAAAAAAAAAUAGGUAUAUACCUCGUUCUGAGAAGCCAAGAAAGAAACGGAUGUGUGGUAACUGU